GUGAAGCAUAUUGAUUAAGGAGCUUCUUCAACCUUGAUCUUUUUUCGUUGCGAAUCAAUGUGAGAAUUCAUAAACAUUAUAAAAUUUUAAUUGCUAAUCUAUUCUACCUUCCUGAUAUCUGAUGCGAUCAGAUAAAUUUUUUCUUCAUUUUGCAUCUAUUGUGAGGCUCUAUUGUCGGACUUCAGACUAGCUAGUGAAUUUACAAAAGUCCA
rnacentral:lncRNA from 1 species